AGGGAUUGCCUCAGUAACGGCGAGUGAAGCGGCAACAGCUCAAAUUUGAAAUCUGGCUCCUUCGGGGUCCGAGUUGUAAUUUGCAGAGGAUGCGUCGGGUACGGGUCCCUACCGAGUUCCCUGGAACGGGACGCCAUAGAGGGUGAGAGCCCCGUCUGGUAGGAUACCCAGCCCAUGUGACGCUCCCUCGACGAGUCGAGUAGUUUGGGAAUGCUGCUCUAACGGGAGGUAUACUCCUUCCAAAGCUAAAUACCGGCUGGAGACCGAUAGCGCACAAGUAGAGUGAUCGAAAGAUGAAAAGCACUUUGAAAAGAGAGUCAAACAGCACGUGAAAUUGUUAAAAGGGAAGCACUCGCUACCAGACUUGGGUUCGGCGGUUCAACCGGGGCCACGCCCCGGGGCAUUCCGCCGGCUCAGGCCAGCAUCAGCUUUCCGUCGGGGGCAAAGACGUCGGGAAUGUAGCUCCUCCUCGGGGGAGUGUUAUAGCCCGGCGUGUCAUACCCUUCGGGGGGCUGAGGUACGCGCUUCUGCAAGGAUGCUGGCGUAAUGGUAGCUAGUGACCCGUCUUGAAAAACGGACCAAAA
rnacentral:rRNA from 1 species